AGAGUUUGAUCAUGGCUCAGGAUUAACGCUGGCGGCAUGCCUUAUGCAUGCAAGUAGAACGGGUCAGUAGCAAUACUGAUCAGUUGCGAACGGCUGAGUAAUGGAUAGGAAUCUCCCCAAUGGUGUGGAAUACCUCAUCGAAAGAUGAGCUAAUACCGCAUAACCUCGAAAGAGAAAAGCGCUUCACUGCGCGCCGAUGGAUGAGCCUAUCUCCCAUCAGGCAGUUGGCAGGGUAAUGGCCUACCAAACCUAUGACGGGUACCCGCCCUGAGAGGGGAAACGGGCAGAAUGGGACUGAGACACGGCCCAUACACCUACGGGUGGCAGCAACAGGGAAUCGUACGCAAUGGACGAAAGUCUGACGUCGCAAUGCCGCGUGGGGGAUGAAGGCCUUCGGGUCGUAAACCCCUUUUAUAUAGAAUGAGAGUUCUGUAAGAAUAAGUAACUGCUAACUCUGUGCCAGCAGCCGCGGUAAUACAGAGGUUACAAGCGUUAUCCGGAUUUAUUGGGCGUAAAGCGUUUCGUAGGUGGUUUGGAAAGUUACCCUUCAAAGACUACGGCUCAACCGGAGGAAGGGGGGUAAUACUGACAGACUUGAAAUAUGGUGGGGCUUCUGGAACUGAUGGUGUAGUAGUGAAAUACGUUGAUAUCAUCAGGAACUCCGAGGGCGAAGGCAGGAAGCUAAACAUUUUUUGACACUGAGGAACGACAGCUAGGGGAGCGAAAGGGAUUAGAGACCCCUGUAGUCCUAGCCGUAAACUAUGCUCGCUAGGGGUUAGAAGUUUACUUCUGGCCCCGUAAGCUAACGCGUUAAGCGAGCCGCCUGGGGAGUACGGUCGCAAGACUAAAACUCAAAGGAAUUGACGGGGACCCGCACAACCAGUGGAGCAUGUGGUUUAAUUCGAGACGAAACGAAAGACCUCACCUAGCCUUGUCAUGACACCGUUUUAAGCACCCAGAAAUGGGAGCCUAUCUUUAGAAAUAUGGAUGGUGCCACAGGUGUUGCAUGGCCGUCGUCAGCUCGUGCCGUAGGGUGUUCCCUUCAGUGGGGUAACGAGCGCAACCCUUGUCCUAAGUUGAAUAUUCUUAGGAGACUCCUUGAAUUUAUUUCAAGGGGAAGUAAGGACGACGUCAGGUCAGCAUGGCCCUUAUAGCUAGGGCAACACACAUACUACAAUGGAGCCGACAGAGGGUUGCCAAGUGGUAACACGGAGCUAAUCCCAAAAACGGCUUCUCAGUGGGGAUUGGGGGCUGCAACUCGCCCCCAUGAACUUGGAAUUGGUAGUAAUCGCGAAUCAGCAUGUCGCGGUGAAUACGUUCUCGGGUCUUGUACACACCGCCCGUCAAGUGAGUAAAGUUGUAAAUACCUUAAAGGCCAUUGUGUGGUCUCAAGGUAGAGACAGCGAUAAGCACUAAGUCGUAACAAGGU
rnacentral:rRNA from 1 species